GCGACAGUGGCUCAGUUGGUAGAGUACAACCUUGCCAAGGUUGGGGUCGCGGGUUCGAGCCCCGUCUGUCGCU
rnacentral:tRNA from 5 species